rnacentral:rRNA from 1 species
GAUGAACGCUGGCGGCGUGCUUAACACAUGCAAGUCGAACGGAAAGGCCCAAGCUUGCUUGGGUUCUCGAUUGGCGAACGGGUGAGUAACACGUGGGUGAACCGCCCUGCACUUCGUGAUAAGCCUGCGAAACUGGGUCUAUUACCGGAUAGGACCACGUCUUGGAUGUUGUGGUGGAAAGUUUUUUCGGUGUGGGAUUAGCUCGCGGCCUAUCAGCUUGUUGGUGGGGUAAUGGUCUACCAAGGCGUCGACGGGUAGCCGGCCUGAGAGGGUGUACGGCCACAUUGGGACUGAGAGACGGCCCAGACUCCGACGGGGGGCAGCAGUGGGGAAUAUUGCACAAUGGGCGCAAGCCUGAUGCAGCGACGCCGCGUGGGGGAUGACGGCCUUAGGGUUGUAAACUCCUUUCGCUAGGGACGAAGCGUUUUUGUGACGGUACCUGGAGAAGAAGCACCGGCUAACUACGUG